CUUGCUAAGGCCGAUGGCGACCGGCGCACGGGUGAGUAACACGUAUCCAACCUGCCCUUUACUCGGGGAUAGCCUUUCGAAAGAAAGAUUAAUACCCGAUGGCAUAAUGAUUCCGCAUGGUUUCAUUAUUAAAGGAUUCCGGUAAAGGAUGGGGAUGCGUUCCAUUAGGUUGUUGGUGAGGUAACGGCUCACCAAGCCUUCGAUGGAUAGGGGUUCUGAGAGGAAGGUCCCCCACAUUGGAACUGAGACACGGUCCAAACUCCUACGGGAGGCAGCAUG
rnacentral:rRNA from 1 species